GGAGGGCCAGCACCGCGGGCCCCUCGAAUAGCUAGACCGCGCACACCACCCUGCUAAGGUGGAGUCCCCGUAAGGGGACCGAGGGUUCAAAUCCCUCCGUCUCCG
rnacentral:tRNA from 1 species